rnacentral:rRNA from 1 species
GGAAUAUUGCCCAAUGGAGGAAACUCUGAGGCAGCAACGCCGCGUGAACGAUGACGGCCUUCGGGUUGUAAAGUUCUUUUCUAAGGGAAGAUACUGAAGGUACCUUAGGAAUAAGUCCCGGCUAACUACGUGCCAGCAGCCGCGGUAAAACGUAGGGGACAAGCGUUAUCCGGAUUUACUGGGCGGAAAGCGCCCGUAGGCGGCUUAAUAAGUUGGACGUGAAAGCUCCCGGCUUAACUGGGAGAGGCCGUUCAAAACUGUCGAGCUAGAGUGAGGAAGAGGAGAGCGGAAUUCCCGGUGUAGUGGUGGAAUGCGUAGAGAUCGGGAGGAACACCAGUGGCGAAAGCGGCUCUCUGGUCCUAAACUGACGCUGAGGGGCGAAAGCGUGGGGAGCGAAC